AGCUUCGCACAGGGGCAGUAUCGUAGCCAAUGAGGUUUAUCUGAGGUGCGAUUAUUGCUGAUUGAAAACUUCCUGAUAUCCCUCCAUGACGACUUGAAAUAUAGUCGGUGUUGGCAAUUUUUGGCAGUCUCUAAAGAGA
ensembl:snRNA U4 U4 spliceosomal RNA